rnacentral:rRNA from 1 species
AUUGAACGCUGGCGGCAGGCCUAACACAUGCAAGUCGAGCGAGCGGCGGAGGGGUGUGUAAUGUGUGGGAAACUGUCUGUUGGAGGGGGAUAACUACUGGAAACGGUAGCUCAUACCGCAUAUCACCAGAUGUGUCCAGAUUGGAUUAGCUAGUGGGUGGGGUAACGGCUCACCCAGGCGACGAUCCCUAGCUGGUCUGAGAGGAUGACCAGCCACACUGGAACUGAGACACGGUCCAGACUCCUACGGGAGGCAGCAGUGGGGAAUAUUGCACAAUGGGCGCAAGCCUGAUGCAGCCAUGCCGCGUGUAUGAAGAAGGCCUUCGGGUUGUAAAGUACUUUCAGCGGGGAGGCGUUACCCGCAGAAGAAGCACCGGCUAACUCCGUGCCAGCAGCCGCGGUAAUUC